CCUACGGGAGGCAGCAGUGGGGAAUAUUGCACAAUGGGGGAAACCCUGAUGCAGCGACGCCGCGUGAGUGAUGAAGGCCUUCGGUAUGUACAGCUCUAUCAUCAGGGAAGAAAAUGACGGUACCUGAGUACUAAGCCCCGGCUAAAUACGGUCCAGCAGCCGCGGUCAUACGUGGGUGGCAAGCGUUAUCCGGCUUUACUGGGUGUAAAGGGUGCGUAGACGGCAGUGAAAGGUUGGGGUGAAAGGCGGGGGCUCAACCCCUGGACUGUUAUUGAAACUGUAAGGCUGGAGUGCAGGAGAGGUAAGUGGAAUUCCUAGUGUAGCGGUGAAAUGCGUAGAUAUUAGGAGGAACACCAGUGGCGAAGGCGGCUUACUGGACUGUAACUGACGUUGAGGCUCGAAAGCGUAGGGAGCAAACAGGAUUAGAUACCCUUGUAGUC
rnacentral:rRNA from 1 species